UAGUGCAGAACUUCUUAUAUUUUCUUUCCACAGCCACUGUUUCAUUUUAACUGCGCGCGAGACCUCCGUAAGUCCACAGCGCGAGCCUUUCACGCGCCGCAACUCAUCCAGAGGCGCGCAGAGAAAACAUGAGCUUGGCCGCUUUAUAGCUCUCCUGAGGCCGAUAAGCGCGACCUGACCCCCUUAAAUAAGAGAGAAGUGUGGUUCAGGUCUGGGUUUCACCUCCCUAAGGGGGGUACAAAAUGAGGGAAGGACUGAAAGGGAGAAAGGACGAGAAGAGCAGAAGAAAGAAAGUCAUGCACAUCUGGGAUGGAUUGAGGGACUCCUAUCCUGAGGUCACCAGAACUGGCUGGAUCCAGCACCAUUCAUGCAUGAUGAUGAACGAUGAUGACUAAAUGCAGCCGAUGCCAGCCAAACAUCACUUCAGUCUAUUAUGAUGGGCCUCAGAGGAUUAACUGAUGCCAACUCUAACCAUAAGACAUGGGAUACUUCAUAUGCCAUUGUCUGAACCUUGGAUUUAGGAUAGACCACACCGAACCUCACAGAAAUCACCGGCCAGGUUGAACUGCGUUUCACAUCCCUGAUCUCUGCCUGCAUCACCUCGGUCUAUUGAUGGACUACGAUCUUGAAAUGGAAUGCAUAGACUUUAAUCAUUAAUCUUACAGUUCAAACAAAAUCGAUGUUUAAACACUGACCCUUAACACUUACUUAGUUUAAUAAUUUUAAACCAUGACUUUAACUAUACAUAAGUAAUAUUGGCAUUAUAUUCAUGAUGUUAGCCAGAGCGGAACUGGCCCCCACAGUGAGUCUGGUUUCUCCCAAGGUUAUUUUUCUCCAUUAAUCAACAUCUUAUGGAGUUUUGUGUUCCUUGCCACAGUCACCUUCGGCUUACUCACUGGGGUUAUUAAUACAAUUAUUAUUUAAUUACUUAUUUUUAAACAGGAUAAACAAUCAUAUUUUAUCUAUUUACACGAUGAUUCAUCGACAUUAUAGACAUUCGUUUUAUCAUCCGUUAAUGUCUUAUCUUCUGUAAAGCUGCUUUGAAACGAUGUGUGCUGUGGAAGGGGCGGCACGGUGGUGCAGCGGUUAGCACUGUCGCCUCACAGCAAGAAGGUUGUGGGUUCAAACCCUGGUUGCCCCGGCCUUUCUGUGUGGAGUUUGCAUGUUCUCCCCGUGUCUGCGUGGGUUCUCUCCGGCUUCCUCCCACCAUCCAAAAGACAUGCAGGCUAGGUUAAUUGGUGUCUCCAAAAAACAAAAUUGCCCUAGGUGUGGAUGUGAGUGUAUGUCUGUCUAUGUGUGGCCCUGCGAUGGACUGGCGACCUGUCCAGGGUGUCCCCCGCCUUUCGCCCAAUGUUAGCUGGGAUAGGCUCCAGCCCCCCGCGACCCUGUACACAGGAUAAGCGGUUGACGAUGGAUGGAUGGAUGGAUGACUUGAUUUGACUUGUUGUGCAAGAUGAGUCAUCAAUAUUUUUGGUCCUUUUUCCUGCAGAAAGAUAAUUUUGACCACAUUUAGGAGUCGUAUUUACUAGCAUAUAGAGCACUUCAAAGAUAAUUCUCAUGGAC